UACGUAGGGGGCAAGCGUUGUCCGGAAUCAUUGGGCGUAAAGAGCGUGUAGGCGGCCCGAUAAGUCCGCUGUGAAAUCUCGAGGCUCAACUUCGAGCUGUCGGUGGAAACUAUCUGGCUAGAGUCCGGAAGAGGAGAAUGGAACUCCUGGUGUAGCGGUGGAAUGCGCAGAUAUCAGGAAGAACACCGACGGCGAAGGCAGCUCGCUGGGACGGUACUGACGCUGAGGCGCGAAAGCGUGGGGAGCGAACAGG
rnacentral:rRNA from 1 species